CUAGCUGUAAACGAUGGAUACUAGGCGUUGAGAGUAUCAACCCUCUCAGUGUCGUAGCUAACGCGUUAAGUAUCCCGCCUGGGGAGUACGCGCGCAAGCGUGAAACUCAAAGGAAUUGACGGGGGCCCGCACAAGCGGUGGAGUAUGUGGUUUAAUUCGAUGCAACGCGAAGAACCUUACCAGGGCUUGACAUGUCCGGAACCCUGCCCAAAGGCGGGGGUGCCUACGGGAACCGGAACACAGGUGGUGC
rnacentral:rRNA from 1 species